rnacentral:lncRNA from 1 species
CCGGGUACGCCUUGAUUGCCUCGUCGAGCUCGUUCACAACCUGCACUGCGUCUGUGCAUCCGAACAUGGGCAACUUCCACAUUGUCCAGUAUCGGCCAUCGUAGUACCCUGGGGAGCUGUUGUACUGACGGAACACAAAUCCGUGCUGCAUCCAUCAAGUUUGCACCAUGAAUAUAAAUAUCAAUCACUAUCAUAAUACUGCUUGUUAAUUUUUUAUAUAAUUAAUUAAUUAAUGAAUGAAAGGUAAUGAAUUAAUAAUUUAUUUUAUCGACCUCCAACUCGAACUCGAUGCAGGGGAUGAGCUUGUUGCGGAGAAGGUAAUCAACUUCCUUGAUGAGUUGCUCCCUGGUUAGUGGGGGAAGGUACGACAGUGUCUCGUACUUCUUGUUGUUAACAGUUGGCCACACCUGCAACAUCAUUUAUUCAUAUAUAUAUGUACCACAAUUAAUUAUAUUACUUAUUGAUUUUAUUAAUUAUAUAUUUAAUUAAUUAAUUUAUUGGUGAAUUAAGUUGGUACGUACCUUCAUGCAAGAAACUCUGCCGCCAUUGCUAGCGAUGGUGGUGAUGUCGGCGCUCUUGCGGGUGGCGGGGAAAGCGACGGAGGACUUAAGUCCGGUGAAUGGAGCCACCAUGCUGGCUUGUGCCGAGCUGACGGCGGUGGUGGCGGCGGUGGCGGUGGAGAGCAUUGAGGAGGCCAUUUCAAUUCUCUUUGAUGUUUUGUUUUUGCUAAUUAAAUCUCUUGCACACUCAAUGUGUCUACUGCGUGGAAGUGUUGUACAGAAACCUCAUCCUUUAUAGUGCUAUUCAACCCCCUUUUCUCUAAUUGGUUUAUUCAGAUUUUCAUCCAACGGCCUCAGAUUAAUCGUUUUAUCUUUUAGUGGGAUUGAGCCGUUGGAUGUUCUUAGACAGUGACUUUUCUAAUUUAUGACCACAUAUGGAUGGAAUGGAUUGGUAACCUUAGAGAACAUCCACUCAUGUCAUCCUCUUUCCCCUCCCUCUUCUUAUCUCAUCAUCUCCAACCGAUGGUGAUAUUCAUUACAUUAUUUCUUUCUCCUAAUCUCACCAAAUAAUAACAACAAUAAUAAUAAUAAUAAUAAUAAUAAUAAUAAUAAUAAUAAUAAUAAUAAUAAUAAUAAUAAUAAUAAUAAUAAUAAUAAUAAUAAUAAUAAUAAUAAUAAUAAUAAUAAUAAUAAUAAUAAUAAUAAUGAACAAUAAUAAUAAUAAUAGAAGUUAAUCUAUUUGAUAUGUCUGAAAUCCCUAUAUCUACUACUUGUAAUUAAAUUGCUAGUAAUGCAAUUGGUGAAGUAUAUGGUAUGUAAUUAAAUUUCUAUGUAACUUCUAAUUUAUAGAAAGAUGGUUUUAAAAAUGAGCAUUCCAUAUUAUUUUCUAAAAGACUUCUGCUAGCCUAUUCUAAAAUACUAACUGAAUGAACAUGGAAAAGGGGUGUCAUACAUACAGAGGCCUAAUAUUACUGUCAACCCCUAAUUCGUCUUUGAUUUGUUUAUGUUCUUUUUUUUUUUUUGAAAAAAAAAUUUCCUGCCGCUGAUCGGAUGUCAAAGCCGAUCAACACACUGUUGAAAGUAAUAUUACGUCUCGUUUGAUUGCCAAUAUAAGAUUAACCAAGAUAAGAUAGUUAUCCUUGUAAAAUAAUAGGCCUAUUAUUUUAUAAGGUAAAUUACAACCACGGUAUGGUCAAAUUACGAAAAAAACCUUCAUGUUUGGGUAAUUACAACUACCCCUCAACUAUGAAUUUUCUUACACGUCCACGCUUAUGGUGUUGAAUUUAGUGGAAUCUGCUAGAUCAUGUGGAAUAUUCUCAAGUUUGUCACCCGUUUUAUCCAUUCGAGCUCCACAUUUUGAAGCAAGAUGAUCAUAAGAUGUGUUUUUGGCUUGUAUAUAUAUCAUAUUGUGGUGAAUCAAAAAUUGCAUUUUUGCACAAAACGAGUACAAACUAGAGAACAUUCCACGGAAUCUAGAAGAUUAUGUUGAAUUUGACACCAUAAGGCUAAGAAGAUUCAUAGUUGAGGGGGUAGUUUUAAUUACCCCAACAUGAGGAUUUUUUUCGUAGUUUGACCAUUACUCAGGGGGUGGGUGUAAUUUACCCUUAUUUUAUAGGAUGUUUGCUAUCAAAUUUUGGAAUAUUUAUCUCCACAUUAUCCAAUAGUGUUUGAUGUAUGGUUUCCUUAACAUCAACCCAAUUACUUAAAAUUACUGAAUUAUCCUUUCUCGUUGGACAUAGAUUUUUUCUUUUUAUUUUUUAAUAUUUAUAUUUUGCUAUUUUUUUAUGUAUAUUUUUUAAAAAUUUUAAGAAAAAAUUCUUCAUUUUUUUCGAAUAUAUAUAUAUAUAUAUAUAUAUAUAUAUAUAUAUAUAUAUAUAUAUAUAUAUAUAUAUAUAUAUAUAUAUAUAUAUAUAUAUAUAUAUAUAUAUAUACUUUUUUCGAAUUUUAUUUAUACUAAUUAUUUUUAAAAAACUAGGACAAUUUCAUCAUUAAUAUAUCUAAUCAUAGCACAAUAAUUCUAUUGGACCACUCAAGAUCCAAUUAGUUAUUUCACAAUUAGCCAUGACAAUUAUUUUGGCAGGUUCGAAUCGGAAAAUAAUAGGGUCAAUUAAACAUCAGACUAAAUCUUACUAUUUAGUAUUUACUUAAUCUUGACUAAUCAUAUCAACCAAUCUUGCCUAAGCACACCCAUUCAACAUGUAUUACAAACAAAUGCAAACAUAAUAUCUUAUUAAUAAAAGUAAGCUCCUCGUAAACUCUAUGAAAUUUUUCCCGCUCAUUUGAUAAUUAUAAUUGUCAUUUAUUUAAGUAAUUAAUUUUAUUAUUUUAUCUUAUUUAAUAUAAUCAAGUUUAAUAAAUCUGUUAACUAUCCAGACUUUUGGCACCAAAUCUACGUAUAUGUUUCCACUAAAAUUGUCAUUUUACUUAAUAUUAAUUUUAUGGGAAAAUUAUUUGAUUGUUUAGAAAAAUAUUUGGUUCUCAUAUUAGUAAUAAAAAAUAAAGUUGCUCCUCAAAACUCUUGAGAAUUAAUGGCAUCAUUGAUUUAUAGUAAAAAAAAAAUUGGUAUAUGAAGGAACCUGCAGCCAGCCAUAUAGGUGCACUGAGUAAACCUACACUCUCAUAUAAUAGCUUGCAAACUAUACGAGAGAGAAUAUAUAGUAAAUUUAUUGACGCAUAUUAUGAGUGAUAAAGAAGCAUCAAACUUCUACCUUAAAUGAGAUAAGAUAACUAUCCAACAAUAUUACAUAAAAAUCAGAAAGUUAAAUUAAUAAAUAUGACAAAAAAAGGUUUAUUGAUGGGGAUUAUCAUCAAUACAUAUAGCAAAACAUCAAAAUGAAUUGAAACUUGGUUAACAGUAAUAUAUUGUCAACCUCAAUAAUAUUAAUUGUUUGGGCUGUUUUUUUUACUCGUUUCUUCUUCUAGUGCUAACCUCUUGUUUUUCCCUUUUCAACCACGAAACCAGAAAAUAGAAAACAAAGAUAGAAAGAUAUAAUCAAGGGGUCUUCGUUGUAGUGGCGGAUUCAGUAAUAUUUUCAAGGGCGUUGUUGAAGAUUACGAAUAAUAAAAAAAUAUAAACAUCACUUGAUGAAAAUGAUGGCCCAAAAUAUUUUUAGGGGCUCCAACACCCUGUUUCUGGUAUAUCUCAUUUCAUUUUACGUUUUGGUUCUCGCUGUUCGUGGUCCCUCAGCAUGGAGGGCGAAGAGGGGAGGUGGGGGAGGAUUGAGCGGUAGUAGGAGAUGAGGAAAACGAAGAGUAAUGGUGCCGGAUAAGUAGAGGGCCGAAGACGCAGAUGAAGAAAUAGGGUGUUGUUACAUUUUGAAAGUUUAAAGAGUUCUUGAUUUUGACUUGUUAUCAUAGCGGGUAAAUGUAGGGCUAGAACUGAGUUGGUUUUUAUCCACCAACCGAUUCAUUACCGACCAUAUUUUUAGAUGGAUAAUCAAUUUUUAACUGAUCCAUUGAAUCGGGUCGAAAAUUUCAACCAACCCAACUAUAAUGGGUCGGUUUGUGGUUUCUAAUAUUAUCAAAAAAUGGUUGACCGAUAAUUAUCGGUCAUCCAACUAUAUUAUUAAAAUUUUAUACGAAUCGGUAUAUCAAUACCGAUUCGAUCCGAGCUCUUGGAAUUGGAAUAAGUUCGGCAAUGGAUCACGAAAUCUUGGUGAUCUUCUCUAUCUAAUGAAUGGGGAGUCUGCUUUAAAAUCGUCCGCCCUGCACCCACCCCAGAGUAUAUGCUUCAACAGGAAUCACACAAGGGUAGAUUAGAAACAUCUGGUAAAAUGCCCGCCCGUCACCCAGCGGAUAAAGAACAUUACAUAGUCCAGGGAUUGGCAACUUACCCAUUCAUUGACUUUGGCAUUGGACGUUCCUAAAACGAGUUCCCGGAGGGUGGUAGGAGCGAGAAAGCUUCUCUGUCCCUUAUAUCAAUUCCUAUAUCACCCUAUCUUGUUGUAGCAGAAGACGAUUCCGGCUUCUGGUCAAAGGGCCUCUACAAAGGAUAGGGAUGGAUGAUGCCUGGAACUUCUAGGUAGCUUAGCGCCGUAGCACGCACCUGGUGCUCAAACAUUGGCUCGAGGCAUUUUCUCUACCCCUUACCCUGAAAAAGCAAGGGCACCUUACGUUCUUGAACCGAUAACCAUCUUUCGGCUAACCUAGCCUGCUCCGUCCCUCGCGACCAACAAGGGGUAGUACAAGAAUAUUCACCUGUUGUCCAUCGACUACGCCUUUCGGCCUGAUCUUAGGCCCUGACUCACCCUCCAUGGACGAACCUUGCGGAGGAACCCUUAGGUUUUCGGGGCAUUGGAUUCUCACCAAUGUUUGCGUUACUAAAAAUAUAAAAUAAAGACCGUCUUUUCUUAAGUAAUUAUUGAAAUUAUUAAAAUAAUUAGUAUUUUAAAUUUUAAAAACAAUCUAAUAAAGUAAAAAAAGUUGACCUAAAUAUUUCACCAGUUUCUUUAUGACUAAGCUUAAACAAAAAGUCCACAAAACUCUACUAAAUCUCCUAUGCACCCGUUUAUUUAUGCCCAGCGGCCAGCACAAUCACAAAUCCACAAAAUUCUCGGUCAACAGCCACCAUCUCAGGUUCAGGUAACAACUAUUUUGAAUCCAUUAUUCUUUAUUUAAUUCCUUGGGAAAUUUAGUUAAUUAGUUUAUCACUUUUACAAAUUGAAUAUUCUUAAUCAAAAUUGGACUGCAUGCAGACUUGAUUUAUACUUUUCCUGUCAAUUAUUUUUCCAUGUAAUUUGGCCUGUUUUGUUUGGUUAAUACAACACGAUUAUUUUUUUCUAACUUAUUCUAUUCUUACAUAGUUACAUGUAUAUGUAUUGUGAAUUUUAAAUAGUUUUGAAUGAUUAAUCAGUUUAUCCUUUUAUUUGUUGGGAAUCAGACACGUGUACGCAGUGGAAAACAAAAAUUUUAUGCGAUUUAAACAACUUUAAAAACACAUAAACACAUGCCCGAUAAUUGAAGCAAUUUUAAUUGAAACAAUUAAUUGCGUACCUUUGCGCUUCCAGCGAAAUUUAAAAACAACAUUCAUGCUUAAUAAUUUAACUGAAUUGAAAUCAAUUAGCAUGCUCGCGUUUAAAUCAAAUAUUCAUGCUCGCAAUAAAUAAAUAAUUCCAUGUAGUCACAUAAAAUCAUACAAGAACGAACAUAAACAUUCUAUUUAAACGUAAACGAAUCAAGAACAAUGAAUUCGUGAGUUUACCUCUUGAAGCGUGAGGUAGGCGCACUUACCAAAAUGAGAUUGCUACGGAAACCAAUCCGUACAAUCCGGGGCAGGAGCGGUGGAACGGCAGCAGCGGCAAGACGAGCCACGGCGGCGCGUGUGACUCACGCGCGGUCUUCGGGCGGCGCGUGGGAUAAUGCGUGCGGCGUCGGCUCGUGUGCUGCUCUUCGAUUCUUCGAAUUCGAUCUUCCUCCUCUCGGAUUUCACCUCGUAUAUACUUCGAUCUACUAAACGUGGCACAAGACACGUAAUAGUUAGAAAAACGGAAGAAAAAGAAAGAAUGAAAGGAAUACCGAAAUGGAUCGGCCAACGUAUGGCCGAUUCCGGUAAUUUCUGGCGACGACGGCGCGGUGGCCGCGAGGAGAUGGACCAGCGAGAGAGAGAGGGAGCGGCUAGGGUUAGGGUUUCGUGUGUUCCUUUUUUAGUGCAAGACCUAUAAAUCAAGUAUUUAUAAUGUCUUGCAUAAAACCCUAGCAGGCUUAAGUUGGACAGGGCCCAAGAGCUUAAGUUCGUUAGUUCUUUUACUUGCUCAUCUCUCUCAUUUCAAUGAUCAGAAAAUUGUAACGAUUACAUUUUUGGAAAUCAUUAUAAUUUCCUCGUCACUACGAGUGCCAACUCUCGAUUUCCAACUUUCCAAAAGUGGAAACCCUAAUUCAGUGCACUUUCUAAAUUUGGAAACUUCUCGAUUUAGAAAGUUCACUAAUACGUUUGCCUAUUCUUUUCCUUUUCUUAUUCUCAUUCAUAAUUCCAAAUUACGAAUGUUGGAUCAUGCAAAGAUAAACCAUUUUAUCUCUGACCGUUUAUUCGAAGAUCUUAUGUGUACGAGCAGUGUGACCCUCGAUGGUUCAGGUGUAAGCUAGCCGUGGGCCCACAACCCUUUGUGGUCAAAACUCGUCCCUUAGAGUUACGAUUAAGAUGAAGCUCGUUUCACCUUAAUCACCCAACGAAUCAAGAUUGGCGUCUAGCAACUACGCGUCAUGAUUCCCUAGAUACAAAUGAAGUGCCUGCAAGAACCUUCAGAUAUAGUUAACGUACAGUACGGUCCCUUCGAUACAUAUGUCCCGAUUGAACUAGAGGCAUUGGUUCGUCGAGACCUCUUUAUUUGUUCAAUGACGGUGCGGUCGUUCUAAGUGUUGUAAUCGUUACGUGCAUGACUUAGAGAAUCGAAUUCUCUAAUCAUCACUUAGCCAGCUCUGGCCAGAGACUUAGAAUGAUUACAAACUAUCAGAACAGACAGUACAUCCAAGACUAUUCUAGCGAUCGAAUCCCCGACUACAAUGCACAGACCUCCCACUAGAUUUCGGACUGCACGAAUACUGGCCCUUGGGAUGAUCCUCGGUGGAACUCAGUGACAGGUCACGAUACAGCUGGUCCUCUAGUGAAGUCACGGUGAUGUCUAGGUCAUAAGGACUAAUGGUGUACAACUAUACCAUAGAUAUCUCUACUCGAUUAUUGGGAACCACUUAGAGAUUUCUAGGGUGAGGGAGUUUAGUGAACUCGUCAACUUACGAGCACCCACUUAUGCAUGCCGAUAUCACAAUACCGUUUACUGAUGAGAUGCAUUACACAUACACUAAGUGCUAGUCUCUUAAUGGGAAAGCCAGAUAUCCUCAUUGGUGGCGUAACCCUUCGACUUGGAACAGGUUAAACAGUUAUAAUACUUAAGUAAAUAUCUCACGAUCCUAACGAUCAAUUACUAGUACUUGUAAUAACUGUAAGGACUAUAUCUAUGCUUGUGACAAAGGGACAAAGAUAUAGAAUGCCAAGGUGUUUUAUCAUUAAUACGAAUAAAGGUUCGUUUAUUACAAUAAUAAAUACGAAAGACCACAGCCACAUGUUGGCUUGUUGGUCACCUACUCUAACAUUAUUUCCAGGCUUUAAUGUUUUAAUUCUCUGUUUUUUCUUAGUAGGUUAGAAAUACAAUCAAAUGACGAAGCACGACUCAAUUUCUAAACCUCAGCCUAAAUGUCCGUAAGUCAUCACAACUGACAGAUUGUAAGCCGAGGGAAAAAACAUCUGAAGUCUGGAAACACUUACCUUCAAUUAUAAAAUGAAUGUUUUUCAAAAAAAAAUUAUAAAAUGAAUGAAGAUGGAACGUUUUUCAUCCCUAUUAUGGUUGUUUGCAACUAUUGCAAGAAGAAAGAGUAUCCUUGUGCGAUAAACCAGGACACGUCGAAUAUGAGACAUCAUGUGUUCAAUGCUUCUCCAGUUAGAAAGGACAAGGGUGAUCCAAAGCAAACAAAUACUGGGAAAAACUCCAAAGGUGACCUUUUUCCUCUGCAUUAUGAUAAAGAUCAUGCUAGGAAGAAGUUGAUCGAGAUGAUAAUCAUAGAUGAGCACGCGUUCAAUAUGGUAGAGGGAGUUGGAUUUAGAGCUUUUUGUCGAGCUCUAAAUCCUCAGUUCAUCAUGCCUUGUCACAAGACAAUUGCAUCUGACAUUUUAAGUUUGUUCCUAGAAGAGAAGGCAAAGCUGAAAAGUAUUUUCUCUGGUACUACAAGAGUGUCUCUCACCACAGACACUUAGACGUCGAUUCAAAAUAUUAGUUAUAUGGUGUUGAUAGUACACUUUCUCGACAAUGAUUGAAAUUUGCACAAGCGAAUCAUUUCAUUUUGUCAAAUUCCAAACCACAAUGAGUCACUAUUUCCAAAGCUUUAGAACAAUGUUUGAUGGGUGAUUGAGAAGAUUUUUGCAAUUGCAUUGGAUAAUUCCUCAGCCAAUAACAAGGCUAUUGAUAUUUUUAAGGUAAGGCAUGCUAGAAAUAAAGGGUAUGUGCUAUGGAGAGCUCAUUUGCACAUGAAGUGUUAUUGUCAUGUGCUAAAUUUAAUUGUACAAGAUGGUAUCAAAACUUUAAGUGAGUCAGUUGAAAGAAUCAGGUUGGGGGUUAAAUGGCUAAGAUCAUCACCACAAGGGUUGGAGAAGCUCAGGGAGUUUGCUCUCAAUGAAGGUAUAAAUGAACUUCUAAUUGUGUCCAUGGAUGUGUGUACUAGGUGGAACUCCACUUAUCUUAUGUUAACUAAAGCUUUAAAGUUAUCUAAGGUCUUCGACAUGUUCAUUCUCUUAGAUUCGGGGUUUCAAGAAUAUUUUAGAGAGCACAAUAACACCAGGCAUCCAGACGCAAUUGAUUGGGAGAAUGCAAAGGAGUUUGUCUCUUAUUUGAAAGUGUUCUAUGAAGGAACACUCAAACUAGGUGCUUCUAAAUCACCCACCUCCCACUUGGUAUUCAAACAAUUGUUGAAUAUCCAAAUGUUAUUGCCUAAGGAGAUGAACAAUCCAAGUGAUGAAACUUUGCAUAAGGUAGCUGCAAGUAUGAAAUAAAAGUUCAAUAAAUAUUGGAGAAAGUGGGAGAAUGUAACUUGCUUUCUUUAUCUUGCGAUUGUUCUUGAUUCAUGGUACAAGUUAUCUUAUUUGAGUUAUCAACUUAAAAAUAUUGGAAUGGAUACAGAGAUGGUGAAAAAGCUAGAAGGGGAGGUGAACCAAAUGGUUGAUGAUUUGUUUAAAGAGUAUGGUGAGAUAUCUGUUAGAAGAAAUCAAUCUAGUGAUGGUAAUGGUGAAAGUGAUGAUAUUGCCAAAGUUCAAAAUGGUGACAGUGACGUUUGAGAGGAAGACGAUGAUGAUUUGUUAUAUCGUCAAUCUCUAAGGGAGAAUCAAGUCGUCACCUUUGGUGAUGAAGUUGAUAGAUAUUUGCUUGAACCUCAUUUGGAGAUUAGGAACAAGAAGUUUACAAUUUUGCUUUAUUGGAAAUUAGAGUCUCUUAGGUUUCCAAUUUCGGGAAAAAUUGCAAAGGACAUCUUUGCAAUGCCAAUUUCAUGUGUGGCUUCCGAAUGUGCAUUUAGUAUGGGAUCAAGAGUUGUCGACCCUUUUAGGAGUUUCUUAACUUCUAAGACUGUGGAGGCAUUAGUAUAUACAAGUAAUUAGCUUAAGGUGGAAGACUUUAGUUAUUAUAAAAAUCCAAACCAAAGGGAGAUGGAGAUUAUUCAACACUGGAGGGAGUUGAAGAUGGUAAUGUUUUAAGUUUUUAUUUAUUUUUAUUUCUUGGUUAUUUAAUUGUUUGUAAUUUAAUUAUAGUUUCAGUUCAUAAUUUGAUAUCUUAUUUUUAUAUAAUUACAGAGGUUUUUUCAACUAAAAGUCUUCAAGGAAUGCCAAAUGUUACUCGUUCAUCCACGUCCAUCUUAUUAUAUUUUUUUCUUAUUGUGUUGUGUAUUUAUAUUUUCAAUAAUGUGACUUCAACUUUUAUGGGGAUGGUUGACUGCCUAUAAUUGCAUUCUUGAUUAAUUAUAGUAUUAUCUUAUUUAUGUUUGUCAUUAACUUCAGUUAUUCCCUUAUUCUUAUUCUUGAAUAUUGUUUGUAUUUGAGCUGUCAACUAUGUGAAUUUUUUUAUAUUUGUCUAUGAAAGUAGUUUUUGCUAUUUUUCUUCGCACUUAGACUUAUGAUGGAUGUUAAUGCAAGUAUUUUUGUUGCAGGUUUUAAGAUUUACGAGCUUAAGGCAAAUGGAAAGGCUAAGGAUAAUUUUUUAUAUUGCAAAUUUCUAGUAUUUUGAUUUCCUUCUGUAAUAUUAUAUUACAGUAGACUGAAGUUUAAACUUUGAAGUAGUUUUUGUUGAUUUGCUUUUUAUUUGUUUUGGAUAAUUGAUUAUUUGCUUUUGAUUGUUAUGAACUUAUGAAUAAUUAUGACAUUGUGAUAUUAUGGCAUAAUGUGCAUGUUUGAAAUUACUUUGAAUUUUCUAAUUAUACUUUUUCGUUGAAUUGUUAUUAAUUAUUUUGAUAAAUGAUGACCGCACCGUGACAUUACGCUAAAUGUGGAGAUUUUUACUCUGAAAUUUGAAAUUUUUAAGUGAACUAGCUGGCGGGUAUAAAACAUCAACCGACCCAUUUCGGAACCAAAUAUUCGGUUGCCAACCAUCAACCGACCCACAAAGAUUGGAUCGACAACAGUUUUCAAAUUAGAGCAAAAAUGGUUUGAUGGAUAGGUCGGUUAUUAGACUGGUAAUCGGCUGACCCAACCCAGUCUCAGCUCUAGAUAAAUGCUAAGGACUUGAUAAUACCAAUUCGGUGCAGAACCACAUGGAAAAAUCCAAAUUUAAUUUUUUUAUUCGCUAAGUUAAUAAUUCAAGGAUUGUAAAAAUAUAUAAUUGACCUCAAGUCUGUCCUUGUAAGAGCAUCUUCCAACGUCAUCACUAUUUUUUCACCAAAUCCAAUUUUUGGUCGUGAAAAAAUGGGUUUAUCUCCCACCCUUAGCACACCAUUCUACGAUUUCACUACUUUUGGUGAAAAAAUAGUGUAUUUAGUCUCUCACCAAUUCCAUCAAAUUAUACACCAAAUAAUAAAAUAAUAAUAUUUCACCAUAUUCCUAUUUAUAGAGAAUAGCAUUUGGUUUGGUCCCCCAUGGUAUUUCACCAAAUAUAUCACAAAAUUAUAAAUUUAAUGUUAAUCAUAAUUUUAGUCUAUUUUAAUUUAAAAAAUAUUGAUUAUCGAUCCGAUUAUAAGUAAUUUUUUUAUUAAUUAUAUAAUCUUAAAAAUUGUGAUAAAUUUCAAAAAAACUAUUGAAACAUGAAUGAAAAUCAACGUAAAUUAGUAUACAUAUAAUAAAAUCACACAUAAAAAUAAUUUCAUAACUUAAUGCAUAAAAAUAUUACAACAAAACUAAUAAAAAUAAUUUCAUAACUUAAUGCUAACUAAAUAGUUUAUGUGUAUUUCAUUUAUAUAAUUUGUCUAGUAAUUUUUGUUGUGACAUUACAAUGCUAUGUUUCAAUUGUUUUCUGAUAAUAAAUAUAUUUAUUGUUUAAACAUNNNNNNNNNNNNNNNNNNNNNNNNNNNNNNNNNNNNNNNNNNNNNNNNNNNNNNNNNNNNNNNNNNNNNNNNNNNNNNNNNNNNNNNNNNNNNNNNNNNNUCUUAAUUAACACUAAUAUAUUUUCUAUAAAUAUGUUUAUAAAUUGAUAAUCACAUGAAAUUAGCUAAUAUAAUAGUUUUAUAUGCUAAUUACAAAAUGGUGUUAAUUACACCAAAUCCUAUUUUAAUUUCUAUAUUUGAUAGGAAAAAUAGCAUUUGGUGGAAAAAAUGGUAAAAUAGUUGAAGAAUGGGAGAUGCAAAUUUCUUCACCAAAAAAUUUGGUGAAAAUAUAGGAUUUGGUAAUAUGGUGAUAUAUGUUUUGACCACAAUGGGAGACUAAAACCAAAUCAUCAUAAUUUUAGGUGUGAUGACGAUUUAGUGAUUUAGGCAGGGAGGUUAAAAACACCUAAAUUAUGUGUAAAAAAAUAGCAAAUGGUGUAGGGUGGAAGAUGCCCUAAGGAUCUCAAAUUGGGCGUCCAAAUAAUUUUUGGGUUGAGAGAGCUUGAGAGAAUAAUCGAUUUCCCAAUUUGAGAAGUUAAUAAAGUUUUACUCUACAACCUAUAAAUAAAAUUUCAUAAAUAUUAGGAUAAAUUCCACUUUCUCUCACUUUGGCUCGGUAUCACUUUACUCCGUUCUACUCUCGAUCGCAUUGAUUUGCCUCCUUGCACUUGAAAAAUUGUCUCAGUGUGGUCAUGGCUGUUAGUUGUCAGAUAUUUUAUAUUAACAUCGUUGAUCUAAGCUCUGAAAUAACGAAAACGCCACAUCUCCCAGUUUAAAUAAUUAUUAAAACAAUAAAAGAUAAAACAAAAAAAUAAAUUAAAAAAAAUAAUAAAAAAUUCAACGUGAAAACAUAAUCCACGACGCCAGCCACAAUUUUUUUUUAAUAAUUAUUUAAACUGGGAGGGAUGAUUUUUUGUAAUUUUCAGAUCUUAGAUCAAACUGUGUUAAGAUAAAAUAUCUGACAACUAACAGCCAUGACCACAUUGAAAACAAUUUUUCAAGUACAUGGAGGCAAAUCGAUGCAAUCAAGAGUAGAAUGAGGUAAAGUAAUAUCGAGACAAAGUACAAUGAGGGAAAAUGAAAUUUACCCUAAAUGUUAUUUAAGAUAUUUUAUUCAAAAUAAGGGAUUAUUUUGUAGACCCCCUCAUUUCCAAAUUAUAUAGAACUAACUACCAAGUUGAUUACACUCUAAGGGAAACCCCCCUCAUUUCGAAAAUAUUUUGACAUAACCCCCUGUGCCACCCUCAAGUACCUAUAAUAGCAUUUUAAAAUCAGUUUUAAACCCACCCACUCACAUUUCGGUCUCUCUCUUCUUCUCCCAGAUUCAAAAUCCCGCCUCCACAAACCUCCCACCGCCGAAAUUGCUUCCCGGAGUCAUAACUCUCUCUCCGGUGGUCGGAAUUCAAUGGUUUAACUACCGGUGGAUUCCUCUCAUCAAGCUCUUUCUUUCGGUGGUGAUUUCAUUCAGUUUGGAGCGCAUAUCUGUUUCUGCAAUUUUUUUUCAUUCGACGACGGUGGUCUUCCCGGAGGUGUAUUUUGUGUUCCACCAGUCGAAAUUUGACGGGCUACCCACUGUUGGAUUCCUCUCGUCGAGAUCUAUAUUUUGAUGGUAAUUUCGUUGUUUUUAUGUUUACAGAUUUAUUUCUAUAAUUUUUUGCUUUUGUAGGUGCGCGAAACUGUGGGUGGCUAUUAGCGGCGCCUAGGAUUUUGGUAGGAGUCGAGGGGGGUGAGGAGUCACUGUCUGUUUGAUUUAAAAUUUGUAGCAUUUCCCAGCAAACAGGUUUAUUAAAAUAAUAAUAAUAAUAAUAAUAAUAAUAAUAAUAAUAAUAAAUAAAUCAACAAAAAUCAGGACCAGAAAUGCUGAAUACAGUUUGAGCGAAAAUUGCAUAUAAGGGUAGUAUAGUAUUUUUGCUUCUCCAGGAUAUGUCAAAGGAUGAUUUGUGCUUGGGUUUAUCCAUAGAUUAUUUGGUGGCUAGGGUAUAAAAAAUAGGGGUAAUAUGCUAGGAGCCCCUCAAAUGAAACUUAAUUUGAACUAAAUGACAAGUUCAAAUCCAACCUUUUAAUUAAAUCUUUAAUUUGAAAUAAUAUAUGACAUACAUCCUUAAUUAAUUUUUUAUCCCUAAACUGCCCUUAUACCCUAAAUUUUUUAAUCUACAAAUUCACUCACGUUUUUUUUUAAUAAAUUUAUUUCUAUAUGUUCUUCACUUUUUCUUUCUCUUUAUCCCUCUCUCGCCUCUUUCUCUCUCUGUUUUUCUUUUUCCUCGGCCUGCCUCUUUCUUUCUCUCUGUGUUUUUUCUCUUUUUUUCUCUACAUCUCUCUAUCGCUUUCUUUCUCUCUCUCUCUCUUUCUAUCCCGAUCUCCAUAUUCCUCGGGACAAGUUUUUUAUUUGGGCUCACAAAUCAAUUAUGCCGUAUACUUGGAGAAGCAAACACGGGCGGCAGCGACGGCGGACGCGAAGGCGGCGGUGGCGG